GAUGAACGCUGGCGGCGUGCCUAAUACAUGCAAGUCGAGCGAACGGACGAGAAGCUUGCUUCUCUGAUGUUAGCGGCGGACGGGUGAGUAACACGUGGAUAACCUACCUAUAAGACUGGGAUAACUUCGGGAAACCGGAGCUAAUACCGGAUAAUAUUUUGAACCGCAUGGUUCAAAGGUGAAAGACGGUCUUGCUGUCACUUAUAGAUGGAUCCGCGCUGCAUUAGCUAGUUGGUAAGGUAACGGCUUACCAAGGCAACGAUGCAUAGCCGACCUGAGAGGGUGAUCGGCCACACUGGAACUGAGACACGGUCCAGACUCCUACGGGAGGCAGCAGUAGGGAAUCUUCCGCAAUGGGCGAAAGCCUGACGGAGCAACGCCGCGUGAGUGAUGAAGGUCUUCGGAUCGUAAAACUCUGUUAUUAGGGAAGAACAUAUGUGUAAGUAACUGUGCACAUCUUGACGGUACCUAAUCAGAAAGCCACGGCUAACUACGUGCCAGCAGCCGCGGUAAUACGUAGGUGGCAAGCGUUAUCCGGAUUAUUGGGCGUAAAGCGCGCGUAGGCGGUUUUUUAAGUCUGAUGUGAAAGCCCACGGCUCAACCGUGGAGGGUCAUUGGAAACUGGAAAACUUGAGUGCAGAAGAGGAAAGUGGAAUUCCAUGUGUAGCGGUGAAAUGCGCAGAGAUAUGGAGGAACACCAGUGGCGAAGGCGACUUUCUGGUCUGUAACUGACGCUGAUGUGCGAAAGCGUGGGGAUCAAACAGGAUUAGAUACCCUGGUAGUCCACGCCGUAAACGAUGAGUGCUAAGUGUUAGGGGGUUUCCGCCCCUUAGUGCUGCAGCUAACGCAUUAAGCACUCCGCCUGGGGAGUACGACCGCAAGGUUGAAACUCAAAGGAAUUGACGGGGACCCGCACAAGCGGUGGAGCAUGUGGUUUAAUUCGAAGCAACGCGAAGAACCUUACCAAAUCUUGACAUCCUUUGACAACUCUAGAGAUAGAGCCUUCCCCUUCGGGGGACAAAGUGACAGGUGGUGCAUGGUUGUCGUCAGCUCGUGUCGUGAGAUGUUGGGUUAAGUCCCGCAACGAGCGCAACCCUUAAGCUUAGUUGCCAUCAUUAAGUUGGGCACUCUAAGUUGACUGCCGGUGACAAACCGGAGGAAGGUGGGGAUGACGUCAAAUCAUCAUGCCCCUUAUGAUUUGGGCUACACACGUGCUACAAUGGACAAUACAAAGGGCAGCGAAACCGCGAGGUCAAGCAAAUCCCAUAAAGUUGUUCUCAGUUCGGAUUGUAGUCUGCAACUCGACUACAUGAAGCUGGAAUCGCUAGUAAUCGUAGAUCAGCAUGCUACGGUGAAUACGUUCCCGGGUCU
rnacentral:rRNA from 1 species